rnacentral:rRNA from 1 species
GAUGAACGCUGGCGGCGUGCCUAAUACAUGCAAGUCGAGCGAACAGACGAGGAGCUUGCUCCUCUGACGUUAGCGGCGGACGGGUGAGUAACACGUGGAUAACCUACCUAUAAGACUGGGAUAACUUCGGGAAACCGGAGCUAAUACCGGAUAAUAUAUUGAACCGCAUGGUUCAAUAGUGAAAGACGGUUUUGCUGUCACUUAUAGAUGGAUCCGCGCCGCAUUAGCUAGUUGGUAAGGUAACGGCUUACCAAGGCGACGAUGCGUAGCCGACCUGAGAGGGUGAUCGGCCACACUGGAACUGAGCCACGGUCCAGACUCCUACGGGAGGCACCGGUAGGGAAUCUUCCGCAAUGGGCGAAAGCCUGACGGAGCAACGCCGCGUGAGUGAUGAAGGUCUUCGGAUCGUAAAACUCUGUUAUUAGGGAAGAACAAAUGUGUAAGUAACUAUGCACGUCUUGACGGUACCUAAUCAGAAAGCCACGGCUAACUACGUG